AGAAAACAAGCUCCCUCGUCAGCCGGCCCUGAGUCAGGCUGUUUAAAGAGGGAUUAAUUUAUUCUCCCAGACACGGCGUUUGUUCCAUCGGGGUUUUGUUGGAGCCCGGUGGAAGCUUGGGGUUGUUUUUUUUUUUUUUUGUUCGUGUUUUUUUUUUUUUUUUUUCUGUUGUUGUUUGUCUCUUUGGACGAGGGGGGAGAGAAAAACAAGCAAACACCAAAAAAAAAAAAAAAAUCAAGCGCGAUCUCAUGUUUUGCGUGGCAAAAAAAAUAAAAAUAAACCAUAAAUACGAACAUCGGUGGUUUGUAAUGAAAGCGGGAAGGGAGCGCGCUGCGGGGCGGCGGCGGAGGGAGAAAGUGCAGGAGGGAAGGAGGAGAAGCGGAGCCGCGGGGCCGCUACAGCUCCGACAGGGGACACGGGAACAAAACCUGCAAGACUCGCAGCUGAGCCAGACGAGGGGGAAACGGAGCUGGAACCCGCUUCCCUGUCGGCAGGGCCGGGCCGGGCCGUGCCAGCCCCUCCCGGAGCCCGGCACAUCCCGCAGCCCCGGGCCGAGCAUCCCCGGGGGGAAGGACUCGCAGCAGCUCUGCUUAGAAAGGGCAAGUCGGUGCCAAACCUGACGAACUUUCCUUUGCACAGAAUUAUAACUGGAAGUCUAAAAAGCCGCAGUGUUUGAAAACACGUAUUUACAUUAUAUAUGCCCCAAAGCAGAAUAAACAAAGGUUAGAUUUGUAAA